rnacentral:rRNA from 1 species
UCGAGCGAACGGACGAGAAGCUUGCUUCUCUGAUGUUAGCGGCGGACGGGUGAGUAACACGUGGAUAACCUACCUAUAAGACUGGGAUAACUUCGGGAAACCGGAGCUAAUACCGGAUAAUAUUUUGAACCGCAUGGUUCAAAAGUGAAAGACGGUCUUGCUGUCACUUAUAGAUGGAUCCGCGCUGCAUUAGCUAGUUGGUAAGGUAACGGCUUACCAAGGCAACGAUGCAUAGCCGACCUGAGAGGGUGAUCGGCCACACUGGAACUGAGACACGGUCCAGACUCCUACGGGAGGCAGCAGUGGGGAAUCUUCCGCAAUGGGCGAAAGCCUGACGGGGCAACGCCGCGUGAGUGAUGAAGGUCUUCGGAUCGUAAAACUCUGUUAUUAGGGAAGAACAUAUGUGUAAGUAACUGUGCACAUCUUGACGGUACCUAAUCAGAAAGCCACGGCUAACUACGUGCCAGCAGCCGCGGUAAUACGUAGGUGGCAAGCGUUAUCCGGAAUUAUUGGGCGUAAAGCGCGCGUAGGCGGUUUUUUAAGUCUGAUGUGAAAGCCCACGGCUCAACCGUGGAGGGUCAUUGGAAACUGGAAAACUUGAGUGCAGAAGAGGAAAGUGGAAUUCCAUGUGUAGCGGUGAAAUGCGCAGAGAUAUGGAGGAACACCAGUGGCGAAGGCGACUUUCUGGUCUGUAACUGACGCUGAUGUGCGAAAGCGUGGGGAUCAAACAGGAUUAGAUA